UGGUUCCUAAGACUAUAGAUCCUGGACUUC
rnacentral:piRNA from 1 species